GUACCAGCUCAGUUGGUUAGAGCAUGGUACUGGUAAUGUCAAGGUUGCAGGUUCGACCUCCGAAAGGGACA